rnacentral:rRNA from 1 species
GAUGAACGCUAGCGGCAGGCUUAACACAUGCAAGUCGAGGGGCAGCGCGGGAUAGCAAUAUCCUGGCGGCGACCGGCGGAAGGGUGCGUAACGCGUGAGCGACAUGCCCGUUGCCCGGGGACAACCGGUGGAAACGCCGACUAAUCCCCGAUGGGAUAUUGUGCCGCAUGGCACGAUAUUGAAAGUUACGGCGGCGACGGAUUGGCUCGCGUCCGAUUAGCUUGUUGGCGGGGGAACGGCCCACCAAGGCUGCGAUCGGUAGGGGUUCUGAGAGGAAGGCCCCCCACAAGGGGACUGAGACACGGCACAGACUCCGACGGGAGGCAGAAGUGAGGAAUAUUGGUCAAUGGGCGGAAGCCUGAACCAGCCAUGCCGCGUGCGGGAAGGAGGCCCUAUGGGCUGUGAACCGAUUUUGCCUGGGGGCAAUAAGGGCGUCGCGCACGUCCGAUGAGAGUACCAGGCGAAUAAGCAUCGGCUAACUCCGUG